rnacentral:rRNA from 1 species
UGGAACGACUGCUAAUACCGCAUAAUGUCUACGGACCAAAGGCCGGCUUCGGCUCUCGCCUUUAGAUUGGCCCAAGUGGGAUUAGCUAGUUGGUGAGGUAAUGGCUCACCAAGGCGACGAUCCCUAGCUGGUUUGAGAGGAUGAUCAGCCACACUGGGACUGAGACACGGCCCAGACUCCCACGGGAGGCAGCAGUGGGAAUAUUGCACAAUGGGCGCAAGCCUGAUGCAGCCAUGCCGCGUGUGUGAAGAAGGCCUUCGGGUUGUAAAGCACUUUCAGUCAGGAGGAAAGGUUAGUAGUUAAUACCUGCUAGCUGUGACGUUACUGACAGAAGAAGCACCGGCUAACUCCGUGCCAGCAGCCGCGGUAAUACGGAGGGUGCGAGCGUUAAUCGGAAUUACUGGGCGUAAAGCGUACGCAGGCGGUUUGUUAAGCGAGAUGUGAAAGCCCCGGGCUCAACCUGGGAACUGCAUUUCGAACUGGCAAACUAGAGUGUGAUAGAGGGUGGUAGAAUUUCAGGUGUAGCGGUGAAAUGCGUAGAGAUCUGAANGNGAANUACCGAAUGGCCGANGNCAGCCACCUGGGUCANCACUGACGCUCAUGUACGAAAGCGUGGGGNAGCAAACGCGGUAUUAGAUACCCCGGUAGUCCACGCCGUAAACGAUGUCUACUAGAAGCUCGGAGCCUCGGUUCUGUUUUUCAAAGCUAACGCAUUAAGUAGACCGCCUGGGGAGUACGGCCGCAAGGUUAAAACUCAAAUGAAUUGACGGGGGCCCGCACAAGCGGNUGGAGCAUGNUGGUUUNAAUUCGAUGCAACGCGAAGAACCUUACCUNACACUUGACAUACAGAGAACUUACCAGAGAUGGUUUGGUGCCUUCNGGGAANCUCUGANUACAGGUGCUGCAUGGCNUGUCGUCAGCUCGUGUUGUNGAGAUNGUUNGGGUUAANGUCCCNGCANACGAGCGCNAACCCCNUAUCCUUAGUUGCUNAGNCAGGUAAUGCUGANGAACUCUNAAGGAGACUNGCCGGUGNAUAAACCGGAGGAAGGUNGGGGNANCNGANCGUCAAGUNCAUCNAUGGCCCUUACNGUGUAGGGCUACACACGUGNCUACAAUGGCGCAUACAGAGUGCUGGCGAACCUNGCGNAANGNGUAAGCGAAUCACUUAAAGUGCGUCGUAGUCCGGAUUGGAGUCUGCAACUCGACUCCAUGAAGUCGGAAUCGCUAGUAAUCGCGUAUCAGAAUGACGCGGUGAAUACGUUCCCGGGCCUUGUACACACCGCCCGUCACACCAUGGGAGUGGGUUGCUCCAGAAGUAGAUAGGUCUAAACCCUCGGGAGGACGUUUACCACGGAGUGAUUC